AGUGGAUCUGGUAAUGAUUUUUCUUAUCUGGAAUUGCCAGGACUGAAUCUGGAGCAUUAGGUAUCCAAAGCAUAUGCCUCUGGUACUUUUCCAUCCUCAUACCCUUCCUCUGCAUGCAAUCAACUUUGUAGUUUAAUAAUUCACAAUUCAGUAUGAAGCAACCCAUAAAGGAAAAAUGGAGCAAUGUUAGUAGAAGGAAUAUGAUUGAUUACAGUAAGGUUCAGCAAUGUGAUGCAAUCCUUAUAGUGUUAUAAAUACCAAGAUGCAGUCCAUUGCAAGGGUGAUCGUGGGUCAGAACAAACGGAACAAUGAAGGUUCUUCAUUUCCUCUUUGCUAUUCUUGUCCUUGGGCUCCUGCAGGGAUCAGAGGCCAAACGACGGAUCAAGUCCCACAGGGAUUGCUACCGAGCACGUUCUGUCUGUUACUCCUUCUUCUGUCCUCGUGGCACUCUGACCAUGGGGAAAUGCAGCUUUACCCAGAAGUGCUGCAAAAGUAUCAUUGGAUAGAGAUGGCACAACCAUCACUGGAAAGUGAGGGCAUGAUCUGCUUUGAAGCUUGACAAACAUGGGCAACCGAAGGUCUCUGCUCUUGCAACUGCUUCAUCCUUUCUUUGAUAGGCUUCGGAAUCACCAUCCACCUGGCUCCAAAAGAAAAAGAAAAAACCAUUCAAAUUGGGCACUGUUUUUUCUCUCUUUUCCUCUUGCUAUUUUCUGCAAACAAAUAAACUUGCCGUGGAAAUUUG